AACGAACGCUGGCGGCAGGCUUAACACAUGCAAGUCGAGCGCUCAGCAAUGAGAGCGGCGCACGGGUGAGUAACACGUGGGAACGUGCCCUAUGGUUCGGAAUAACUCAGGGAAACUUGAGCUAAUACCGGAUAAGCCCUUACGGGGAAAGAUUUAUCGCCAUUGGAACGGCCCGCGUCCGAUUAGCUAGUUGGUGGGGUAAAAGCCCACCAAGGCGACGAUCGGUAGCUGGCCUGAGAGGACGACCAGCCACACUGGGACUGAGACACGGCCCAGACUCCUACGGGAGGCAGCAGUGGGGAAUCUUGGACAAUGGGGGAAACCCUGAUCCAGCCAUGCCGCGUGAGUGAUGAAGGCCCUAGGGUUGUAAAACUCUUUCGGCGGGGACGAUAAUGACGGUACCCGCAGAAGAAGCUCCGGCUAACUUCGUGCCAGCAGCCGCGGUAAUACGAAGGGGGCUAGCGUUGUUCGGAAUUACUGGGCGUAAAGCGCGCGCAGGCGGUCCUUCAAGUCAGAGGUGAAAGCCCAGGGCUCAACCCUGGAAUGGCCUUUGAGACUAGAGGACUUGGGUACGGGAGAGGUGAGUGGAAUUCCGAGUGUAGAGGUGAAAUUCGUAGAUAUUCGGAAGAACACCAGUGGCGAAGGCGGCUCACUGGCCCGUUACCGACGCUCAGGCGCGACA
rnacentral:rRNA from 1 species